UAGAGUUUGAUCCUGGCUCAGGAUGAACGCUGGCGGCGUGGAUAAGGCAUGCAAGUCGAACGGACAUUUUAUUUUAGCAAUAAAAUGAAAUGUUAGUGGCAAACGGGUUAGUAACACGUAGGUAACUUUCCUUGAAGUCCGGCAUAAUUCCGCGAAAGCGGGACUAAUUCCGGAUGGAAAUGAGGGGGCGAAAGCCAUUCUCAUUUAAAGGUGCAAACCGCUUCAAGAGAGGCCUGCGUCCUAUCAGCUAGUUGGUGAGGUAACGGCUCACCAAGGCAAUGACGGGUAGGGGGACUGAGAGGUCGGCCCCCAACAUCGGGACUGAGACACUGCCCGGACUCCUACGGGAGGCUGCAGUCGAGAAUCUUCCCCAAUGGGCGAAAGCCUGAGGGAGCGACGCCGCGUGAAUGAAGAAGCCCUUCGGGGUGUAAAAUUCUUUUAUAGAGGAACAAUUUUUGAGAUUACUUUAUGAAUAAGGACCUGCUAAACUCGUGCCAGCCGCCGCGGUAAUUCA
rnacentral:rRNA from 1 species